rnacentral:tRNA from 1 species
GACGGUUUGGCCGAGUGGUCUAAGGCGCCAGAUUUAGGCUCUGGUCCGAAAGGGCGUGGGUUCAAAAGCCGUCA